UUGAUCGUUAUUGACCGAGAUGGGUUAAACUUUGACUUUUUAAUUCAGAUAGAAUUCUAGACUGACCGAGGCACCAUUACGAAGUUCGCAUCGAUCCAAGUCUGUAGACUAGUAGCCCGUUGAAAAUGGAGUUACGGUUUGAAAGUUAUGAGCAAAACAAAGUUGAGGUAUGAACUGUUCAAGGGUACCAAAGUUAACUUUUUAUUCUUGCUUAAUUUAGGUUUGACUCUUGUAUAUUUUUUAUUUAUUUAUUAUUUUAUUAUUUUCUCUCUUUUUCCUUUUCUUUUUCCUUUGUUUUUUCUCCUCCUCCCACGCACGUGCUCUCUCUUCUCUUUCCCACACGAAAAGAACUUCUCUCUCUUCCCCCUCCCUCUCCCUCUUGGGUUUCUACCCGUUUCCUUUUCUCUGGCUGCCGGGAGGAUGCACGAAAUGGCCCGCAUGAAAGCCCAUGGCUGAGUGACGUCGAAGGCCAAAUUUCUGGCCGUUUGGCAGGCGGACGUGCUGGGAUCGGCCAUCCAAAAUCGGCCACUGAAGGUCCACCGGUUGACCCAUUUUCCUAUGGUUCUAGACCGUGAGACCGGUCUUUCCCCUAGUUUUCGACACCCUGGUUCAAAAAAUGAUCUCCAUCCACCUAAAUUCUAAGCUGUUUGUGAGAUACACGAAGGGAGAGCUUAGUCGAAACUUUCCGUUCAUUUUCCAGCCAAUCCUGACGGUUUUGAGCUCAACGAAGUGUUUUGUAGUUGUGGAUGUGAUUAGCACGCGGACGGAUUGUUAUGAGUGCACAGGUUGUAUACUUUCCAAUGGUUGCCAUCGGACUGAGGGCAGACAAGUUUAACAUUGGCCAUAGCUGUCCUCUUCCAUGACCGGGAUUGAGGGUUUUAGCAUCGGCGCUGCUGGAACGCCAAGGUGGCCUAGAUGUAGAUUUCUCUCUUUAACCUCUCCGUCAGGCAGUGCUGUGGGAUGCUGGGCGCCGUCGAGCACCACUAGUAUAUAGUAUGUGCAUCAAGUAUAUAUAUAUAUAUAUGUUAUAUUAUGUUAUGUUUGUUUGUAUUACAUCGCUUAGGGUGACGAUUCGAUGUGGUCUAUAAAGAGCUAGCCUCAUAACUAUGUUGUCGAUGAAUCCAGGAGAUCGAAGGAUCAAUCUAAGCAACCACCUCGGAUUGUAUUGAUAGCAAAGUACAGACGACAGUUGAAAUCAUGGAUUUCGUAGAAUAUUAGAGGGUAUCGUUUGUAACUUCGAUGCGAGUGUAUAUUUUAUAAUAUAUUUUGAAUUUUAAAAUAUUAUUUUACU